rnacentral:tRNA from 1 species
UGGGGUGUGGCUCAGUGGUAGAGCACCUGCCUAGAAUCCCCCAGUGAGGGGCUGGGGUGUGGCUCAGUUGCAGACUUGUCUAGUAUGUUGCAGUACCCUGGAUUCCAUCCCCAGUGCCCCAC